rnacentral:lncRNA from 1 species
UUUAACACAACGUGGAACUAUAUCUUAGCAGUGAACCGGGGCAAUUUGUUGGAGAGGAACACCAAAGUCUCCAACAAAGGUCAAGGAUCUACUUCGAACUCCGCUCGGCUCGACUCUCAAAAUUCAUAAUUAAAUUAUUAUUUCAAACAUCUUUAUUUUAAUUACGGUACCCAGUGUCUCUAUUAUUUGACACAGGGGCAUCAUUUUAAGCUCCGCAUCAAUAGUUAUGUCCUACUCUAGGGUGCUAUAAGUCUUGAACUACAUAUGACUUGAUUCUCGUGAAACCCGAAAUAGGUAGACAACUCGAAAUCGGAGUUCGCUUGCAAUCAUUUUUAUGUCCCUUUCGUUCCAUUUAUGCCUUGAUGGUAAGGACAAAAUUGGCUAUAUUAUUUUCUUUGCCUGAAAACUUUUUCAUCAUUUUCAAUCAAAAAGGGGCGACUAUUGAUAUCCAAUUUUGUCCUACUUUUCCUUUGAUUAAUUGUCAGGUUCUCCCUAGUCAUCAAUAAUUUAAUGCUC